rnacentral:rRNA from 1 species
UACGAAGGGGGCUAGCGUUGUUCGGAAUUACUGGGCGUAAAGCGCACGUAGGCGGAUUGUUCAGUUAGGGGUGAAAUCCCAGGGCUCAACCCUGGAACUGCCUUUAAUACUGGCAAUCUCGAGUCCGAGAGAGGUGAGUGGAAUUCCGAGUGUAGAGGUGAAAUUCGUAGAUAUUCGGAGGAACACCAGUGGCGAAGGCGGCUCACUGGCUCGGUACUGACGCUGAGGUGCGAAAGCGUGGGGAGCAAACAGG